AGAGCCGAUGUGUGGAUCAAC
rnacentral:siRNA from 1 species